rnacentral:rRNA from 1 species
CGCAAGCCUGGAAUGCAGCCAUGGCCGCGUGUAUGAAGAAGGACCUUCGGGUUGUAAAGGUACUUACAGUCAGUGAGGAAGGUGGGUAUGGUUAAUAGCAUAUCAUUUGACGUUAGCUGCAGAAGAAGCACCGGCUAACUCCGUGCCAGCAGCCGCGGUAAUACGGGAGGGUGCGAGCGUUAAUCGGAAUUACUGGGCGUAAAGCGCAUGCAGGUGGUUUGUUAAGUCAGAUGUGAAAGCCCGGGGCUCAACCUCGGAAUUGCAUUUUGAAACUGGCAAACUAGAGUACUGUAGAGGGGGUAGGAAUUUCAGGUGUAGCGGUGAAAAUGCGUAGAGAUCUGAAGGAAUACCGGUGGCGAAGGCGGCCCCCUGGACAGAUACUGACACUCAGAUGCGAAAGCGUGGGGAGCAAACAGGAUUAGAUACCCUGGUAG